rnacentral:misc_RNA from 1 species
AACGAGGCCGACCUGCGGCUGAGUUACCUGCGGAGGGAUCAUUACCGAGUGCGGGUCCUCCGGGGCCCAACCUCCCACCCGUGUGUACCGUACCCUGUUGCUUCGGCGGGCCCGCCGCAAGGCCGCCGGGGGGCGUGUCCUGCCCCCGGGCCCGCGCCCGCCGGAGGCCCUUCGAACGCUGAGCUUUUGAAGGCGUGCCGUCUGAGUCGCGUGAGAAAUCGUGAAAACUUUCAGCAAUGG